CAGAAGGUAGUUUAGUUUAGAAUAAAGGCUUUGGGUGCUAUAGGGGUUUGAUUUUUUUUGAU
rnacentral:tRNA from 1 species